CAGUAGCCGCGGUAAAACGUAGGUGGCAAGCGUUGUCCGGAAUUAUUGGGCGUAAAGGGCUCGCAGGCGGUUUCUUAAGUCUGAUGUGAAAGCCCCCGGCUCAACCGGGGAGGGUCAUUGGAAACUGGGAAACUUGAGUGCAGAAGAGGAGAGUGGAAUUCCACGUGUAGCGGUGAAAUGCGUAGAGAUGUGGAGGAACACCAGUGGCGAAGGCGACUCUCUGGUCUGUAACUGACGCUGAGGAGCGAAGGCGUGGGGAGCGAACAGGAUUAGAUACCCGUGUAGUCCCUGUCUCUUAUAU
rnacentral:rRNA from 1 species